CCUACGGGUGGCAGCAGUGAGGAAUAUUGGUCAAUGGGCUUACGCCUGAACCAGCCAAGUCGCGUGAGGGAAGACUGCCCUAUGGGUUGUAAACCUCUUUUGUCAGGGAGCAACGCCGGCUACGUGUAGCCUGCCUUAGAGUACCUGAAGAAAAAGCAUCGGCUAACUCCUGGCCAGCAGCCGCGGUAAUACGGGGGAUCCGAGCGUUAUCCGGAUUUUUUGGGUUUAAAGGGUGCGUAGGCGGAAUGCCAAGUCAGCGGUAAAAUCGCGGGGCUCAACCUCGAUCCGCCGUUGAAACUGGCGUUCUGGAGUGGGCGAGAAGUAGGCGGAAUGCGUGGUGUAGCGGUGAAAUGCAUAGAUAUCACGCAGAACUCCGAUUGCGAAGGCAGCAUACCGGCGCCCAACUGACGCUGAAGCACGAAAGCGUGGGUAUCGAACAGGAUUAGAUACCCUUGUAGUC
rnacentral:rRNA from 1 species